ACAUACCAAUGCAAACAUCCUGGGACACUUAGACACAUCCACAAGGGCUGUGUCUCCUCUUAUAUAAGCAAACACAGGAUGAAAUAGAUUAGGAGGUGGGGAGCCUAGAGAUACAAAGAUUUGGCCCUUAGUAAACACACAGAUACAGACACAGACACACACACACCUAAGCGAAGGUGUGUGUGUGUGGGGCUAAUCCAGCAAUAAAUUACCACAGUCAACAGGCUCAUCUCCCUCAACUCAUUAGCAGAUAAAUGAUAUGCCUACAUUCAAAACACUUGUGUGGGUUUUUUAUUUGCUCCACAGGAUGACUGCUCUAUCCUCCAUCUUUCUCUUCUUCCUCCUCCUCCUCUUCCUUGUCUCCUGUGCUGUCUGAGUGUGUCAGCAGUGUGUGGAGCUCCCUGGUGAUGUGGAGCUAGCGCUGACAGUGGAGGAGAGACGCCAGCACUAGCGAUUAGCAUGAGCUUCCAGGGGGCACCGCAACGGCUGCUGGAAAAUUCCAUCAGAGGCACGAAUCUGUCGCUUCGUCGUAAAGUGACAGCCCCCUGUGGCUCAGCACAGCACAGUAAGAAGAGUCCCAAGUGAGCCUCAGCAUCUGCCGGCUGGAGAAGGUGCGCUGUGAUGUUAUGAUCACCAGUGGAGAGGGAUAUACACAGGGGCUCGCCUGUCUGGAAAAAUAAGCUGGAUGGUCAUUUAAUCCCUCUAACCAGCUGGAAAGAUAAAUAUUCCACGGUGGAGCGUGAGGCCCCUGCGUCUCUCCACUCACGCAGACUGGAGAUGAGGGGAAAAUCUUGCUCUCCGCAGAGAUCAGACGCUCAAGUGCCUUAAUAAAGUUCUCCACCCUGCCAGACAUAGACAAGGGCAUGGCUGCAGAGACCUAUAUAGGCCCCACACACAUUUAGCACAUUUUGUUUUGAAAAAUGCUGCCACUAGGCAACGUAGCCU